rnacentral:rRNA from 1 species
UGAGCAAUCUGCCCUCGAUUCUGGGAUAGCCCGGGGAAACCCGGAUUAAUACCGGAUAGCCUCUCGAGCUUUCGAGCUCGUGAGAAAAGGUAGCUUCGGCCUCCGNUCGAGGAUGAGCCCGCGGCGGAUUAGCUUGUUGGUGGGGUAAUGGCCUACCAAGGCGACGAUCCGUAGCUGGUCUGAGAGGACGAUCAGCCACACUGGGACUGAGACACGGCCCAGACCUCUACGGGA